rnacentral:rRNA from 1 species
UACGUAGGGGCCUAGCGUUGUCCGGAUUUAUUGGGCGUAAAGAGCUCGUAGGCGGUUUGGUGAGUCGGGUGUGAAAUCUCCACGCUCAACGUGGAGGGGCCACCCGAUACUGCCAUGACUCGAGUCCGGUAGGGGAGUGUGGAAUUCCCGGUGUAGCGGUGAAAUGCGUAGAUAUCUGGAGGAAUACCGGUGGCGAAGGCGGCAUCCUGGACCGUAACUGACGCUGAGACACGAAAGCGUGGGUAGCAAACAGG